GUCAGCCUUCUAUAAGCCGUUCCAGAGCACCUCUGUGAACAUUGGCACAGCUGUUCCUAGGGCUGCACACCGCAUACUCACGCACGGCUUCUCCCUUCAAGCAUCUCAACUAAACUUAAAUGCCCUCUCCAGGAAGCGGAAACCCGGGCACUCACGCUGAAUUCCCUCGGUUCUCUCGGGGCUGGCGCUUGGAUCCUCACAGAGCUCUUUUUGUCCGCCGGGUCUCCGAGGGCUGUGCCUGCAGGGUAUGCUCGUCCGCUCCAAGCUGCUGCGGGGCUCUCCCCGCGGAAACAUUCCGCGGAAGUCUGCGGCUGGGAACGGCAGAGAGCCUUCCCUCUCCCAGGAGCCGAGCUCCGAGCUCGACAGACGCCUGUUACCAAAUCUAUAUAAAUAUAUAUGGAUGGAUGCAUACAUAUGCAUACACAUACAUGUGUCUAUGCGGGGGCAUCUGUAGGGUAUAUAUAUGUGUAUGCACAUAUUUAGUAAUUUUUCAGCGUCGCCCUUCCCCCCGCCCGCCUCCACCCCUCUCGCAGCCCCCUCCCCUCCUUGACAGCUGCCCCCCACGGAGCGCCGUGUGUCGCCGACCCGAGUGAGGGGCCAGCGCCACAUCGGCCCCCCUCAGCCGCACCCCACACGCCCCCCAGACAGGGGGACGAGCCGUCCUGCCGCCCCCUCGCCCUGCACACCUCCCUCCAUCCUUCCUCCACCUCUCCCUCCAGCCCUCCCUCAAUGCACACCUCCCGUCCCAGCGCUACAGCCCAAACUUCUUCCCGCCGCCCCCGCGCCCUAAAACAUCGCUGGGGAUUUACUGGCGUUCUCACGCUGUUUUCAAACUCGGAGAGAUGGAUCAGAAGGGACAGAAGGAACCGGCAGCACUUCAGGACAUCCUCCUCCCAGGGACGAGAGGUCGCGCUACAAGUUCGCCUGGCAGCCGGAAUGGGAAGAGUGUUUUUGGUUAACACUAUUGUUUUUCCUGAUGUUUCUUGGUUUUGUUUUUGUUUUUCUUUUUAACUGCUGUUGACCGGCUGCUUGGUUUGGACAAAAGUUGCACAAAUUAUCAGUGCCUCCUAGAAAGAAGAUUCAGAUGAAACAGUUCUUCAGAAGUUAAGGAGGAAAACAUCUUAUGAAACUCGACCUUUUGCUUCACUGUUUUUUUAUUUUUUUAUUUUUUUUAAAAAAAGUUUCCAAAGAAAUGUGAGCUUUUCUUCAUCUCUAGGAAAAAAAAAAAAAAAAAAAAAAAGUAGCCAUUACCCUUCUCUACACUAGAUAUUUCUAAUUUGCUCUGUCAGAGUGGGACUAUGAGAGGUUUUGGUGCAAAUUCAUUAUCUCUGCAAGGCACAACGUAUAGUAGGAACUGAAAAAGACCGUGGCAAUGGAUGAACAAUAGGGCUUCAGUUCAUCAGCAACAAAAGCGCUGGGGAAAUUGGUUGAAUUUCAGAGCACGUCCUCCUCAGCAGAGAGGGCUGGACUAGACCUUGGCCAACCCUCCAAAAAACUUGCAGAACCUCACAUACAACAGUUCACUUUCUACUCUGGGGCAUAGGAAUCAGUGUGGGAAAACAAACAAACAAAAAAAAUAAUGGCAGACCGAAGUCAGCUUUCUUCAUGUCUUUCCCGUUUACAUGGAUGGAAGAUUUUAAAAUAUUUUAGAAUCGUUGGAGCAAGACCACCACCAUGGAGCUAAGGGGCACUUUUAAAUAGGGAUGGCGAGGGGAAACACGUGUAUUUGUCGAGACCUGAAAUAACUUUUUCUGCUCCGGGGGGGCUUGGCCGUGGGAAUCUUUGUUUUGUCACCGGAGGCUCAACUCACCCCCAAUAUGUGGGGUAAAAUCUUUCUCUGAUAAAGGCGAAGAUAUGUAAGUACUGCAGUGUUUCCGUAUGUGUGUGUUUGUCCUGAGCUCCCUGCAAAAUUUGGGAUGCUGAAGCCCGGAGAGAUGGAGGUUUCCCGGGUCCCCGUGAGGCCGCGAUGAGGCCGGCUCUCCCCGGGACGCGGGAGAGGGUCUCCCAGCAUGGAUCUGGCUGCCUUCUCUCGCUCCAGGCUAGGGACAUUGGAUGAGGAAGGCAGGGUUUAUGACUGGACACAGCGGCGUAGGCCGUUUUGUGCGUCCGAUGCUAAACCUGUUGGUCGUACGGCUGUGUUUAUUUGCGGAAAAUGUUAAUUAUGUAGCAGACUGCCAGCGGAUGCUGAGCUGUGGCUUCCCAGGGAGUUUUCUUGCAGUGCCUGGUUGCUCUCGGAAGGUGUGCAGGCACAAGGUUGCCUGGGAAAUAAUGAUAAUAAUAAUGACAAUGAUAACGUUUUAGCUGAGGCUGUUGUGAUGGAUAUAAUGCAAUGAAAACCAGAAACUUACGUUGUAUUUAUCUCCCCCCGUGGCCCUUGAUAAACUCGCAGAGCUGUAAAAGAGACUAUGCUUUCCUGGUAAUUCCGGUUUCAGGACAUCAUCAGUCAGGAACAUGUGGAAAAUCUGGCGGGGAAAGGCUGGAAUAAUAUGUUUUGCAUGUUUUGAACUGAAGGCUAGGUGGAGCCCCCAACCUUUAUUAGUGGCAGCUUAUAAUACACAAAUCCCAGAUCUGCCUCUAUAGUUUUGGUCCCUUCUGUUCAGCAGUCCCAAAAAAUACUUUUAGCCUUUUAUUUCCGAGUGUAAUUCUCGAGAAGUAAUGAUGCAGUUAAAAUGUGUAUGUAUUAUAAUAUUUAUACUAUUUCCUGUAAAUAUUGAUUACAGUCUUUAACCCUGUAGAUCCAGGAGUAUAUCACUCAUAUCUCGUUUGUGUCAUCUUAAAUCAUCUGCAGGAAAUGUGGCUAGUUUUUUGCCACCUUUAAUCUAGGGUCGAGUGUUUUGGUGAUUUAUCUAAUAAUCCCAAAAGUUAAUAUAUUCAUUACCUUGUAUUCACAUAGAUUUUUCCAUUCGCAUAUAUUUCUGGAAGAAGGCAUUUAAAUUAUGAUCCUUUGCUUUUUGGGGGGCUAUUUUUCAGGUUUAAACAAUGCAGACAGACCACAGGUAGUAACAAUUGCAUCAAGAAAUGGUAAUUUUUGUUUGUUUGUUUGUUUGUUUAAUAAAAGACAAUAUUAUAAACAUUA